rnacentral:lncRNA from 1 species
GUGGGGGUUGCCGCCUGCCUCUCUCCUGGCUCUUUCCGGGCUGGGAAGAAUACAAUUCACAAAUGUGGAGCAUCUGAGGAAUUUGGGGGCUAAAAACAGAAGCUUCUGGCUGGAGGUGGCUAAGAUUCCUGGACCUGAAGGGUGUUGGGAAACAGUAUCAAGAAUGUUUUGCUUGUGCUAUGGAGCUAAUACUAAAGCAGCUAUCUACUGACAGUUCACUGGAGCACCACGGUGAGUGCUCCAUGGAGAGGGAAAAUGAAAUCGCCAGCAGCUACAAGGCAAACUGUAAAUGAGCAUGAUCUCCAGUUGCCAGAUUCUAAUCUAUAAAAAAGAAAUAAAAAUAGUG